rnacentral:tRNA from 1 species
GCCUGGGUGGCUCAGUCGGUAGAGCAUCUGCCUUCGGUUCAGGUCGUGAUCCCAGGCC